CAGGGGGAAAUGAGGGUAAUGGUGAUGUGGAGGGGAAAAGAACCAGAAUCUGAAGGGCAGUGUGAAGGCAAAAUGGUUGAUGGGGGGAGGAAACAAGGGAAUUUGGAAAUCUGAUAAGAAAACUGGCAUCACAGUGCUCUUUCUAAGUAGAAGUGCUCAGAAAUUGAAUAGCCUGUUGUUUCACCAACACCAGUGUCAGGGUCACUGGGCUGCUCCUUCCUCCCUCGUGAAUGAACUUUAGAUGAUGUUUGCUCUUUUCCAGCACUGCUGCAUCACUGCAUCAUUUUCUCUGCCUCCUGACACAACAGGCCUUAGAAAAACCCUUCUUUGUGAUCUGGCCCCCAGUGCUCCUUGCCAGCCCUGCUUUGGAGAUUCCACAGAAAAUUCACUACAGCCAGAAAUUAAAAUACCAGUCCGUACACAAUGGCAGUAUUGACUCCAGGAGUGUAAGGGAGGCACUUGGGAUCACGCCCCCGUCUUUCUGGGUCUCUUUCU
rnacentral:lncRNA from 1 species